CCUCAAGUUCACGUCAGGUAAGUGUUUGUAAAUAAAUGUUAAUUUUAGACUAUAUUAAUUGGCAAAGACGCAAAUACUCGACGUUUUUGUAAAGAUAUAAGUUAUAUAAAGGUGUGUUAUGUUAUGUGUCCAAGUUAAAGUGGAGCUAUUUUAAUUAAGAUUACCGGACAGGGUUUAUUACUCCGUCUUAAUUAUAAUUGGGACAUUUUUACAAACAAACCUUAUAAAAUACAAUACUGGCGUGCAUUUUGAGACAAAACAAUAGCACUCAUAUGUUAAGAGAUGUCAGUAUUUUAGUCAGUGAUAAGUCCUGUCCGAGAAAACCGCCCAAUAGUGUUUAAUUCAAUUACGUGUGACGUCUGAGGGAAAUUUGGCAAUUUUAGGGUAUAAAGUCUUUCACCGUCAAGCUUUAUUAUAUUAAACAUGUAUUUAUGUAUGUGUGUGUGUGUGUAUUUAUAUUCCUCUGUUUAUCAAACCAGAGCGGUGAUGAUGUGGAGAGAGGCAGACCAGAGAUACAUGGUGAAAGAAGUUCUCCUUAAUGGCCCUGCAGAUGUUCUGACUGACUUUGGAGUGCUUUUUGGACUGUUUAAUGCUCUCUAUUUAAAGAAGAUUUAAUUCUGUAUGUUCAGUCUGUAUGAUAAGUGAAUAAAGCUUCUGUUUUUAUGUGACUGAAGUUAAUUAUUUGUUAACAACACCAGCAUACACUGUAAAAAAUCCAAUUAAUGAAAUGUUGGAAGGGCAAAAAUAUAUAAGUUGAACCAAUUUUCUUGUUUGGGCUUAGUUGAGUAGACAUAUUAUUUUAAGUCUAGAUAAAUCUGUGUUUAAAACAUUAAGUGAAUGGUUAUUUCCAAAUUCAGUCAACAUUCAGAAUGGCUAUGUUGACUGAACUAAUUAAGACAAAUCUGGUCAAUAUGUGGACUUAUGACAGCUAUGUUUCCUGACAACAAAAUGCUCAUAAUAUUACUGUUAUUUGGUAACAAAAUGUAAUUUUAAGAUUUGUUCAGGCGUGAAUGUAUGUGCUUUAAGUUUAAAUAUGCGGUCGGUUAAUAUAGAUAGCGUCUAUUUAAAAAUGUGCUCGGAACAUUUCGGACGGAGAAGAGCUCCAGAUGAGCUCCAGAAAAUCACAGACACUUAAGCGCUCACACCCCGCCCAGCGCAGCCUCGCCUCGGCAAGCCCAUCAGAAAUCGACUGCUGGCUCUGAUAUCUCUGUGGCGUUUAAACAUGCGAUUUAAUUCAUUUUAAUUUCUUAUACUUAAUAAUAAAAGGUUUACCGGUAUGUUUUAAAUCAUAUUUUAGGAUUACACUUAAAUGAUAUCGCUGUUGAAUGAUAUUUCAUAUCUUUCACAUUUGUUAUAACUGGGCUGCGUACUGCCUGCGAAUUUGAACUUCAGAGCUGAAGGUGCGAGUGGAGAAAUAGUCCCAAUAUCAUAACAAUCUUAAAACUUCUAAAUAUACCCGUGUGUGUACCCGUGUGCGUGCGUGUGUGCGCUCGCGCGUGUACAUGUAUGUAUGUAUGUAUGCGCGUGCGUCUGUGUAUUUUGAAUUUAAAAUGUUUUAACUCGGAAGGAUCUGGAUCACAGGUCAUUUCAUCUGAGAUCAAUCCGCACGCAACAGCUGGAAUCACUUACUGAUUCACACAAGGAAGGACACAAGUCAGCCGUUUCCUCAAGUUCACGUCAGAGCGGAGAUGAUGUGAGAGGCAGACCCGAGACAUAGCGAGACAGUCUCCGCUUGGACUGGCUGAGGAAAGUCUCCUAAAUGGCCCUGGAGAUGUUCUGACUGACUUUGGAGGCUUUUUGGACUGUUUUAUGCCCUCUAUUUAAAGAAGACUUAAUUCUGUAUGUUCAGUCUGUAUGAUAAGUGAAUAAAAAGCUUUUGUUUUUAUGUGA